AUGUUCAAAUUACAAGUGCUGUCUAGGUCUCAAAUGUUUCUAAAUAUACUAAGUGAAAAUGGCAAGAUUCUGAACAUAUGGGUAUACUAUAAGAGACGACAUCUAUAUAUAUGUGCUUAUAUCCCUACCCCCUUNNNNNACCAAAAACAGAACUUCCCCCUCCCCCCAAAAAGAAAGGACAGACCGACCCUUGGGAGAAUAACUGCUAAUGGCAAGGACUCCUGGAGAGGAAGAACAGAUCACUAA
rnacentral:lncRNA from 1 species